rnacentral:rRNA from 1 species
CAGUAGCCACGGGAAAACGCAGGUGGCAAGCGUUGUCCGGAAUUAUUGGGCGUAAAGCGCGCGCAGGCGGAUAGGUCAGUCUGUCUUAAAAGUUCGGGGCUUAACCCCGUGAUGAGAUGGAAACUGCCAAUCUAGAGUAUCGGAGAGGAAAGUGGAAUUCCUAGUGUAGCGGUGAAAUGCGUAGAUAUUAGGAAGAACACCAGUGGCGAAGGCGACUUUCUGGACGAAAACUGACGCUGAGGCGCGAAAGCCAGGGGAGCGAACGGGAUUAGAGACCCCCGUAGUCCCUGUCUCUUAUACA